GAUGAACGCUAGCGGGAGGCCUAACACAUGCAAGCCGAGCGGUAUUUGUUCUUCGGAACAGAGAGAGCGGCGCACGGGUGCGGAACACGUGUGCAACCUGCCUUUAUCUGGGGGAUAGCCUUUCGAAAGGAAGAUUAAUACCCCAUAAUAUAUUGAGUGGCAUCAUUUGAUAUUGAAAACUCCGGCGGAUAGAGAUGGGCACGCGCAAGAUUAGAUAGUUGGUGAGGUAACGGCUCACCAAGUCAAUGAUCUUUAGGGGGCCUGAGAGGGUGAUCCCCCACACUGGUACUGAGACACGGACCAGACUCCUACGGGAGGCAGCAGUGAGGAAUAUUGGACAAUGGGUUAGCGCCUGAUCCAGCCAUCCCGCGUGAAGGACGACGGCCCUAUGGGUUGUAAACUUCUUUUGUAUAGGGAUAAACCUACUCUCGUGAGAGUAGCUGAAGGUACUAUACGAAUAAGCACCGGCUAACUCCGUG
rnacentral:rRNA from 1 species